CUGCCGCCGAGGCAGGCUAAACACAGAAUGGGGAAGAAUCCUGUGCGUCCUCCACGAGCCCUUCCACCUGUGCCAAGUCAAGAUGAUAUUCCACUUAGUCGUCCUAAGAAAAAGAAGCCGAGAACAAAAAACACACCAGGUAAGACAUUAUUCUUUGUUGUGUGGGAUCACAAGUUUUCCUAGGACCUCAGGUCUAGUAAACAUCACAGAUAAGGGAGAAGUAAGGCCCCAGCAGCCCCGAAUCUCCACUUCAUUAAGGAUAGAAUUAAGGCCAGUUUGAAGCAGUGGAAUUCCUGGUGGUGGUGAGGUGCAGGGCAGUGGGCAGCCUGAGGAGUAUCUGGACGCGUUCAUGGAAUAGAAGGUGGUGCCAUCUAAGCUCCUAUUUCCAUGAUAUUCCUGGACUCUUUAAGGUCUUUUAUCCCCAGACAACAUACACGGUUUUAAGCUAUGAUUGAUUCCAGACCCUUGAACAAGAUACUGAAUUUAGAAACACAGGGUUCUUAAGUCUCACUUCAGUCAGAAUAUCUCUACAUUAGAGCAUGAGUCUGAAGGCAUGGCCACAUCAUCAUUUAAAUAGUAAAGCUUCAGUCGUGAGCAGAACUCGUUUUUGUCUUAGUCGUCCACUAAUAAUCCUGGAAGUUGCAUCCGUAACUCUAAACUCAGCACAUCUAGAAUCC
rnacentral:sRNA from 1 species